GAAACUAACUAGGAUUCCCUUAGUAGCGGCGAGCGAAAGGGGAAUAGCCCAGCACUAAGCUCUCUAGUCUGUUAAGGAUUAGUAGAGGAUGCAGUGUAUGGAGAGUCUAUUAUCUCAUAAGCUACGGCAAUGCGUUCAAGUCCUUCUUGAAUGGGGCCCAUUUACCCAUAGAGGGUGCCAGGCCCGUAGUGACUGUUGACCGUUUGGUAUGAGAAGGCUUCUCCUAAGAGUCGUGUUGCUUGAUAGUGCAGCACUAAGUUGGUGGUAAACUCCAUCUAAGGCUAAAUAUAACCACGAGACCGAUAGCGAACAAGUACCGUGAGGGAAAGUUGAAAAGAACUCUGAAUAGAGAGUUAAAUAGUACGUGAAACCGCUUAGGGGUUAAACCCGAUGAACCUGAAUAUCUGAAAUGAGAAAUUCAAUAUAAUUGCUCUGUCAAAGGAAUGAUUGUAUGCACUUUUCUCAUAGUAAGACAUUGCAAUCCAUUGGCUAUUGUGGCAAUUAUUCAUUUCAAUUGAAUAAUGCUAUUAUUUUAUCAUACGGCCUCAAUAGUAUUUGUUUAUACAUGAAAGUAUUUAUUUACUUUUCUUUGUAUAAUACUAUAUAGUGUCCCGAUAAAUAUCCGAUGGACUUUACAAAAUUAUGCAUUAUAUUUUGUUGUGUAUAUACUUGAUUGUUAUAUAUGCUAUAUACAAUAUGCAUACAUUUGAUUAGCAAUGCGAUAGAUUUGGGAUACCUUCGGGACCCGUCUUGAAACACGGACCAAGAAGUCUAACAUGUGUGCAAGUCAAUGGGUUUUAUAAUGAUUUUCCAUAAUUAUUAUAUUAAUAGAAACCUAUGGGCAUAAUUAACAUAACUAUAUUAUAUGGGAUAACGAAUAAUUUUUUAAUAUAAUUAUUCUACCAUCCUGGGGCGUUCUAUAUAGAACAUGGUUUUCAUUUUAUGAAUAAUCCUCUGUUCUAGAGCGUACCUUAAGCAUACAUGCUGUGACCCGAAAGAUGGUGAACUAUACCUGAUCAAGUUGAAGUCAGGGGAAACCCUGAUGAAGGACUGAAGCAGUUCUGACGUGCAAAUCGAUUGUCAGAAUUGGGUAUAGGGGCGAAAGACCAAUCGAACCAUCUAGUAGCUGGUUCCCUCCGAAGUUUCCCUCAGGAUAGCUGGUGCAAUGAAUUUAUAAGCAUAUAUAUUCUUAUCUGGUAAAGCGAAUGAUUAGAGGCCUUGGGGCCGAAACGACCUCAACCUAUUCUCAAACUUUAAAUGGGUAAAAACCUUGUCUUUCUUGAAUUGAUGAAGACAAUGGAUGGAUAUAUUGUGCCCAGUGGGCCACUUUUGGUAAGCAGAACUGGCGCUGUGGGAUGAACCAAACGUGAUGUUACGGCGCCAAAAUUAACGACUCAUAUUGACACCAUGAAAGGCGUUGGUUGCUUAAAACAGCAGGACGGUGGACAUGGAAGUCGUAAUCCGCUAAGGAGUGUGUAACAACUCACCUGCCGAAGCAACUAGCCCUUAAAAUGGAUGGCGCUAAAGUCGUAUGCCUAUACAUCACCGUUAAAAUAAAUGAUACAAUAUUAUUAUUGUUUAAAUAUCAUGAAAUUUUAACGAGUAGGAGGGUGCAAUAGUGUGCGUUGAAGUGUUUGGCGUAAGCCUGCAUGGAGCCGCUAUUGGCACAGAUCUUGGUGGUAGUAGCAAAUAAUCGAAUGAGAUCUUGGAGGACUGAAGUGGAGAAGGGUUUCGUGUGAACAGUGGUUGAUCACGAGUUAGUCGGUCCUAAGCUCUAGGCGAAAGCCGAUAUUAAUUUUUGGUAUAAUAAAUAUUAUUAUGUAUAUACCUAUUAUAUAUUAAAGAGCGAAAGGGAAUACGGUUCCAAUUCCGUAACCUGUUGAGUAUACGUUUGUUUAAUAAAAUAUGGGUCCCUUAGUACUCAUCCUGGUAACAGGAACAACCAUAGAGAAGCCUUCGAGAGGUACUGGAAGAGUUUUCUUUUCUGUUGAACAACUGUAUUACCAUGGAAGUCUUUAAAAGAGAGAUAUGGUAAAUGAGUUGGAAGAGCAUGACAUUUACUGUUGUGUCAGUACUUUCUCCUUGGACCUUGAAAAUCUAUGGUGGGGCUACGCAAAUAUCUCAACAGACCGUACCGAUAUCCGCAGCCGGUCUCCAAGGUGAAGAGCCUCUAGUCGAUAGAAUAAUGUAGGUAAGGGAAGUCGGCAAAUUAGAUCCGUAACUUCGGGAUAAGGAUUGGCUCUGAAGAUUGAGAUAAUCGGGCUUGAUUGGGAAGCAAUAAUUAUAUGGUAUCAUGUGCUCGUCCUGGGUGGCAUUUGCUUUCAAAUUUAUUUGUUUGUUGAGUACCCCCGGGUAGUAGACUACAUGGCCAAAUUGCGGAAAUUUCUUGCUAAUAUGGCAUGCAUAUGUGUUAAUGUAUGCAUGUUAAAACGAUUAUCAAUAAACAAUUAAUUCAGAACUGGCACGGACUUGGGGAAUCCGACUGUCUAAUUAAAACAAA
rnacentral:rRNA from 1 species